UCAAUUUUUUCUCCCGUGGUGGCGUCAUUUUUUAAUUUUCAAUGGCGGGAAGGAUUAUGGUACUUCAUUCAACUUCAUUCAAUGGAUCCUUCAGAGCAACAAGACUCAAUCAAAAUCAGUGGGAGGGGCCGAUUUGUGAAGGAAGGGCCAAUGCAAAAUUAGUGGAGGAGUAGUUGUUUUUCAAGAGGAGUCUCAAAAUAUCGUUGUGUUUCUAGACACCAUCAGAAUGGCCAUUGGGAGGCUAUAAUUGGUAUAGUAUUUGGUAACAAAUACCUUUACCUAGGGACAUACAAAAUGCACUGAUAAUUUCAAUGAAGGUGAUAAAGUUAGGUUGUUGGAUCCAUUUGAUACUGUUGUUGUUGGCAUUGGGAGGAUUCACUCCCUAUCUAUUAUACAUGGAGUAAACUUAAAAGGAACAGGCAACGCAAAUGUGAACAUUUUAACGGUCAAAAGUAACAUACCUCUUCCUUAUGAAGAAAAAAUAGAUGGAGUCAUCCGUCUGAAAAAGAGAAAGAGGUAACCUUCACAAGGUGGCCAUUAAAAUAUUUGUAGAAAAUAAUAUAGUUGAAUAUGUUUAUCAUGUUUCUUAUUGUUUUAUGCAGUACUUUGAAUAUUUUGAAAGAGCUGGAAACUCUUAGACAACUUUGACAUUUUUUAUUAUAUUUACAUAUAUACCCUUAGACAAAUUUGACAUCUUAUAACUU